AGUGAACGCUGGCGGUAGGCCUAACACAUGCAAGUCGAACGGCAGCACAGUAAGAGCUUGCUCUUACGGGUGGCGAGUGGCGGACGGGUGAGGAAUACAUCGGAAUCUACUUUUUCGUGGGGGAUAACGUAGGGAAACUUACGCUAAUACCGCAUACGACCUACGGGUGAAAGCAGGGGAUCUUCGGACCUUGCGCGAAUGAAUGAGCCGAUGUCGGAUUAGCUAGUUGGCGGGGUAAAGGCCCACCAAGGCGACGAUCCGUAGCUGGUCUGAGAGGAUGAUCGGCCACACUGGAACUGAGACACGGUCCAGACUCCUACGGGAGGCAGCAGUGGGGAAUAUUGGACAAUGGGCGCAAGCCUGAUCCAGCCAUCCCGCGUGGGUGAAGAAGGCCUUCGGGUUGUAAAGCCCCUUUGUUGGGAAAGAAAAGCAGCAGGUUAAUACCCCGCUGUUCUGACGGUACCCAAAGAAUAAGCACCGGCUAACUUCGUG
rnacentral:rRNA from 1 species